GACGAACGCUGGCGGCGUGCUUAACACAUGCAAGUCGAACGGAAAGGCCUCUUUCGGGGGGUACUCGAGUGGCGAACGGGUGAGUAACACGUAAGUAACCUGCCCUUGACUUUGGGAUAACUUCAGGAAACUGGGGCUAAUACCGGAUAGGAGCUCCUGCUGCAUGGUGGGGGGUGGAAAGUUUCGGCGGUUGGGGAUGGACUCGCGGCUUAUCAGCUUGUUGGUGGGGUAGUGGCUUACCAAGGCUUUGACGGGUAGCCGGCCUGAGAGGGUGACCGGCCACAUUGGGACUGAGAUACGGCCCAGACUCCUACGGGAGGCAGCAGUGGGGAAUAUUGCACAAUGGGUGGAAGCCUGAUGCAGCAACGCCGUGUGCGGGAUGACGGCCUUCGGGUUGUAAACCGCUUUCGCUCAUGACGAAGCUUUGUGUGACGGUAGUGGGUAAAGAAGCACCGGCUAACUACGUG
rnacentral:rRNA from 1 species